UCUUGCAGAAAAAACUAGCGAGCGAGCAACCGUCGUUUGUUCCUCACGCUGCCCCCUCCUCUCCCCGCCGCCGCCGCCCACGAUGGAAUUUCCUCCCUCGUCGCUUCCCCGCACGGCCGCACGCCACCGUCGCCGCCUACGCCUCCGGAUCCCUCGCCCGCCUCGCGGCCACUCACGCCAACAUCCUCGCCCCGGACGACUCCCUAUUGUUGCUCAUCGCGCCCCUCUCCGUCACCCCGUCUCCCCGCUUAGCCUCAUGCCUCGUCAAGGCCGUAGCCACGCUCGUUUCCUGCGUCCUCCGCUCCGGCCCCGCCGGUUCGCGCUAAGCCCCCAACAACCACCCUUCCGUCCAGGCUCUCGCGUCGGGCGCUGACGGGGCACGCUCGGAGCUGUCACGGCAGGCGGCCAGGAUGGUCGCCGAGGGGUUGGACGGCGUGGUGCUGUUCCCGAGGCUGUUUGUGAUGUUUGUCGUGCUGAGGAAGGGGACGCCGCGUUCGCAAGGGAUUUGAUUGCUCGGCGAGAUCUUGCUGCAUUUCGACCGCGGGGAUGGGGAGGAUAAUGAAACAACUUCAUCUGAAGCUUUAUAUAACUCACCUAAGCUUCUACAUGGUGUGUUUGACCAGUUACUCGAUGAUCUGCUCAACACUAGGUGUCGUAAUAUAUAAUUCAGCACAAACAGGGUCUUGAGGUUAAUAACUGUGUAAGCAUAUAAGAUCAUCUAUUUCUGGAGUUAAUUUGUGUUUUCAGGAUAUCGGCUUGGAUGGUGACUAUAUCCUACUUGGUACUUCUACUCAUACAUAAAUUCAGAUAUGCUCAAUUGUCACCAUCUAUUCAGUUGCAUACUUGAAUGAGGGUUCUUGAGGUUCUCAUGUGAUAUACUGGAGCAUCAUAAAGUCGUGUAUUAUCUUGUUGAAAAGAAGAUGUUUUCUUAGCUACAAUGGAGAUCCUGAUACUAAUGAAAAUGCAUUCAAUGUUAGUCAUAUCUGGUCUGAUUGCUCAACCUAUGAUUCAUUCCAUGCAUGUCUUGGUGUAUAGUUGUCCUCUUCACACAAAUAGUUCCUGGAGGUUAAUGAUCACGACAUUGGAAGUCCAGUGUCUGCUUCUACAUGUGCUACUUGUUCAAUGUCUAUAAGAAGAUACUGCGAUCUGCACUUCUGUAAACAACACAACCUCUGGCCCUAUUAUUGAUAACAUAGGUAGGCUGGGGAUGAUACAUGCGGUUGCAUGUCAGAGUCAUGUUACGAAGUCCAGUGUCUGCUUUUGCAUGUGCUCCAUGUUCCAUGUCUAUAGGAACAGGCCGCGAUCUGCACUUAUGUAGGCUGUCAGUGUAGGGAUUGGCGAUUGGUUCUGCUUGAUUGGCUAUAUAGAGUUGUCGAUGUGCAAUGGGUAACUGCCAGGCCGACCAUCGCCGUGCCAGCUCCUGGCCAGUUUGCACUAGCACCAAUAGGACUCCAUCGACCUGGGAUGUAACCCGCCCAGAAGUCAGAUGGUGGAGAAUAAUCUGCUCAUGGCCCAUGGAUGCACUACAGAUUGUUUACUAAAGAAAAUUGUUUUAGGCGAAGAGUCGAAGACCUGAAGAUAAAUGUUGCUAAUCAAGACGAUGACCUGCACAACUCCUGGGAAACACGACCAACGCUGUGUGCCUGCACGAUUGAUGAUCACAGAUAUGUUUACUUUGCUCAAAGAUCGUAUAGCAGUGUAUUGCUUCAUGCAUGCACUUUUUAUCAUCCAUUUUUAUUAUUCAAUUCUCUAUAUGGUCAUCAUAGAUGCUAUUACAGGGAUGUAUCAGUAUUUUUCAUGCGUUGUUGUAAAUAUAACUACCUUUGCACUGAUACAUAUGUGUUCUUUUCUUUUAACUAUCUCUUUUCAGGCUUGGAAGAAAAUUAAUUUAGAUUGGCCAUUGGAUUCCUACACCAGUCGUAAUUGGAUAAAUCAUGUAUGACGCCAUGCUUGCGCCCUUAUUCCUGGAGUAUAUGCAGUUGUAUUCUUGGUCGUGUGUUGCUCAUUCAUGCAAAACUUCCGAAAUAACUUGAAGGAUUUGGACUUGGAAGUAGUAGCAGUGAAGUGUUGAAUAUAUUUUUGUUCUUUGAUGUUGGAAGGAGGGUCAUAGCUGGGAUGAUAGCUUUUGCUGCUGGAAAGAGCGGUUGCUGCUGGAUGAACUAUGUUACUUUGCAAUUUUUUACACAUGUGUCUUCAUUUAUCCUUCAUUUUUUAAUAGAUAAUAGCUGGCUAUCAAUUGUUGUUAUCCAAGAGCAUGGUUACCAAGAAUCCAUUACUAUACUGAUAUAGAAAUUGAGUCCUCUGAAAGAAAGAUAUUCUAUGAUGUUCAGAUUUUCCAUUGUGUACUUAUGACCUAUUAACGUGCUGCAAUAUAUACACACUGGGUUUUGUUA